GUCCCCAUAGCUCAACGGAUAGAGUGUGAGCCUCCGAAGCUCAAGAUGAAGGUUCAAUUCCUUCUGGGGGCG
rnacentral:tRNA from 1 species